CUCCCUAACCCCACACCUUCAGACCUCCUCCUCCCCUCCACCCGCGGCUGCCGGAGCCCCCACACGCCGGUUUUACUUCAUGCAGAGUAGUAGAAGAGAGGACAAUACCUCAUCACUAAAAGCAUCCUAUGAGGAAACGAAGGUUAAAAAAGGCUGCACAUCUAGUGAGCAGCAGAGCCCAGAUGUGAAGUCUAAGUAACUUUCCAGCAGUCAUAUGGGCUAUCCUGAGAAUUCAUGAACUGUUGACUCCUGGAGGCCAUCAGUCUUCUGGGGAGAUAUGGAAGAGGACUUCUGAAAACAGAAUGGUUUUCUGAGCUGGAUCAUUCUCAUAGUCCCUUUCAACUUUGACUUUACAGAUUCCUUUUUUUCCCUUUGUGAUCACUCAGGAUUCUU